rnacentral:rRNA from 1 species
GAUGAACGCUGGCGGCGUGCCUAAUACAUGCAAGUCGAGCGAACGGACGAGAAGCUUGCUUCUCUGAUGUUAGCGGCGGACGGGUGAGUAACACGUGGAUAACCUACCUAUAAGAUUGGGAUAACUUCGGGAAACCGGAGAUAAUACCGGAUAAUAUUUUGAACCGCAUGGUUCAAAAGUGAAAGACGGUCUUGCUGUCACUUAUAGAUGGAUCCGCGCUGCAUUAGCUAGUUGGUAAGGUAACGGCUUACCAAGGCAACGAUGCAUAGCCGACCUGAGAGGGUGAUCGGCCACACUGGAACUGAGACACGGUCCAGACUCCUACGGGAGGCAGCAGUAGGGAAUCUUCCGCAAUGGGCGAAAGCCUGACGGAGCAACGCCGCGUGAGUGAUGAAGGUCUUCGGAUCGUAAAACUCUGUUAUUAGGGAAGAACAUAUGUGUAAGUAACUGUGCACAUCUUGACGGUACCUAAUCAGAAAGCCACGGCUAACUACGUG